rnacentral:rRNA from 1 species
GACGAACGCUGGCGGCGUGCUUAACACAUGCAAGUCGAACGGUGAACCUCUUCGGAGGGGAUCAGUGGCGAACGGGUGAGUAACACGUGGGCAACCUGCCCCCGGCUCUGGGAUAACUCCAAGAAAUUGGGGCUAAUACCGGAUGUUCACCGCUUCCCGCAUGGGUGGUGGUGGAAAGGGUUUCCGGCUGGGGAUGGGCCCGCGGCCUAUCAGCUUGUUGGUGGGGUAGUGGCCUACCAAGGAGACGACGGGUAGCCGGCCUGAGAGGGUGACCGGCCACACGGGGACUGAGACACGGCCCAGACUCCUACGGGAGGCAGCAGUGGGGAAUAUUGCGCAAUGGGCGGAAGCCUGACGCAGCGACGCCGCGUUGGGGAUGACGGCCUUCGGGUUGUAAACCUCUUUCAGCAGGGACGAAGCGCAAGUGACGGUACCUGCAGAAGAAGCACCGGCCAACUACGUG